CAACCCUAGGAGGGGGUGCCAUUCACAUAGAGUAUAAUUGAAUGGCGCCACUAGGGUUGUG
rnacentral:pre_miRNA from 1 species